rnacentral:rRNA from 1 species
GACAAACGCUGGCGGGGUGCAUGAGACAUGCAAGUCGCACGGGGUUGGAUCGGGCGUUGCUCGAUCAACCUAGUGGCGAACGGCUGAGUAACGCGUAGGUGACCUACCCGGAAGUGGGGAAUAACUGCCCGAAAGGGUGGCUAAUACCGCAUGUGGUCGGCGAAUCAGAUCGCCGUCCAAAGCCGAAAGGCGCUUCCGGAGGGGCCUGCGUCCGAUUAGCUAGUUGGCGGGGUAACGGCGUC